rnacentral:rRNA from 1 species
AUGGCGCCCCUGGAGUCAAGCUCCUCACAGCUCUUCUUCGACAGCACGUUCGAUGUCUACGACUGCGGUACCUUGGCAGGCACCAGAGUCGUGCCAGAUCCACCUCCAUUACCUGGAACUUCUUAUGGCAAGCAGAGAAGUUCCAGGAAUGCAAAAGAGGCUCGUUGUGUUCAUGAUGUCCCUGAGGAGGUCCGGGACUGCUGGAACAGGCUUUUCUUGGAAGGAUAUCAAGCCGAUGUCCGCGUAUCGACGGAUGAUGGAAGCGAGAUUUUAUCGCAUUCCUGCAUUCUUGGCAUCAGAUCUCCCGUUCUAAGAAGUAUGUUGGAAGAAGCUAGAGUGGAAGAUGGUUUCAGAAACAUCCUGAUUUCUGGUGUCCCAUCUGAAGCAGCCCGUGUCUUCAUCAGGUUUCUGUAUUCUUCACGCUUUGAGCAGGAUGAGAUGAAGAAAUAUGCCCUCCAUUUGCUCGUACUCUCUCAUGUUUUCUCGGUACCAUCGCUGAAGAUCGUCUGCACCGACCAGCUCGAGAGGUUUUCUCUUGCUCCUGAUAACGUGGUGGACGUUCUACAACUGGCUAGACUCUGUGACGCGCCAAGGCUCUCGCUCAUGUGUACUCGCAUGAUCACUGGAGAUUUCAAGACCAUCUCUCUGUCAGAAGGGUGGAAAGUCAUGAGACGGGCCAACCCAAGCCUGGAGCAAGAGCUUCUUGAGUUUCUUGUUGAAGUGGACACAAGAAGGCAAGAAAGAGCUAAAAGGAUGGAGGAAAAGAAGGUUUAUCUUCAGCUGUAUGAAGCUAUGGAAGCUCUUGUUCAUAUAUGCAGAGACGGUUGUAGGACGAUUGGCCCCUGGGAUCAGAAACUGAAGGGCAGUCAGGUUGUUUGCAAGUUUCCUGCCUGCAAGGGCAUCGAGUUGCUGGUGCGCCAUUUCUCGGCAUGCAAAAUGCGUGUUCCGCGUGGCUGCUCCAACUGCAAGCGUAUGUGGCAGCUUCUUGAGCUGCAUUCGCGAAUGUGUUCUACACCGGGCACCUGCAGGGUUCCUCUAUGCAGGCAUUUUAAGGAUAAAAUGCGGCAUCGGAGCAAGAAAGAAGAACUCAAAUGGGUCCUAUUGGUGUGUAAGGUCCUAGGGAGUAAAGGAACAAUUGAUUCCGUCCUAAAAGCGAGAAAAAUCUCACCCCUCAAGCCAAUUGGAGCUUGA